rnacentral:rRNA from 1 species
AUGUUGUCUCGGACAGAUGCCAAGCUCGGCGUUGCCCUCCUGCUCCAGCUGCUCGUCCCGCCACAGGCGCCUGACCGCCUCAGCCUCUCAUGCCGCCCGCGCCCCUGCAGAUCCUCCAUCAGCACGGCCUGCGGCAUCACCGCCUCGUACACCGCCUCCUCCGUCUCCGUCCGCGCCGCCACUAGGCUCGCCCUCGGGGUCGCCGCCACGCCCCGCCUCCACGCCAUGGCGGGGAGCAGCCCGGGCUGGCCGCCACGAUGGGCCUGGUCGGCCGAGUGGUGGAGGAAGGCUGCGCGCCCGUACGGCCUGUAG